GGGGCCGAAAUAGGAUCGACGGACGUCUAAAGGGGUUAGCUUUGUCUCGGCUGUCUGCCACCGUUACCGGCGAAAACAGUACAAUUGCAAACGACAAUCGUGCUCCGGUUGCUCUGGCUGCGUAAGCAGUUCGAGUCGAACCGACUUUAAGUCCUAGCGCCUAGCCGCGUUAGGCGGGGUUCGCAGGUACCUGGCAACAGAAACCUGCACU
rnacentral:tmRNA from 1 species